ACGAACGUUGGCGGCGUGGAUUAGGCAUGCAAGUCGAGCGAGAGCCGCUGGGUAACUGGCGGGGACAGCGGCGCAAGGGGCAGUAAGGUGUGGGCAACGUACCCCCGGGACUGGGAUAGCCACGGGAAACUGUGGGUAAUACCGGGCGACGUAGCGAUGGGGCAUCCCGUUGCUACCAAAUGAAUUUCGCCUGGGGAGCGGCUCACAUGGUAUUAGCUAGUUGGUGAGGUAACGGCUCACCAAGGCUAAGAUGCCUAGCGGGUGUGAGAGCACGACCCGCGCCACUGGCACUGAGACACUGGCCAGACACCUACGGGUGGCUGCAGUCGAGGAUCUUCCGCAAUGGGCGCAAGCCUGACGGAGCGACGCCGCGUGUGCGAUGAAGGCCUUCGGGUUGUAAAGCACUGUCGAGGGGGAGAAAAGCCCGUAAGGGUCUGAUCUAUCCCUGGAGGAAGCACGGGCUAAGUUCGU
rnacentral:rRNA from 1 species